rnacentral:ncRNA from 1 species
AAAAAAUUCUUUAUGGUUUGUAAAUUUAUUAUAAAUUUAUUUUACAUAUAAAUUUUAGUGUUAAAUAUUAAUUAUUUAAAUAAUAAUUAUUUAUUUUGUAGUAAUUAAUAUUAAAUUAUUUAAGGAAUUAAGAUUUAGUAAUAUUUAAAUUAAUAACAAAUUUUGUGCCAGCAGUUGCGGUUAAACAAAAAUUAAAYUAAAUUUUAUUAGUAAUUAAUWRMYAAAAUAAUUUUUAUAAUAAAAAUUUUAAAUUAUUAAGUGAAAUUUUAAUUUAAUUAAAAUUUAUGAUUAAAUUAUGAUUUAAUAAAUUUUUUAAAAAACUAGGAUUAGAUACCCUAUUAUUAAAAUUUAAAUUUAUAAUACUGAAAUAGUAGAUAAUUAUUUAUUGAAACUUAAAUAAUUUGGCGGUAUUUUAGUUCAUUUAGAGGAAUCUGUUUAUUAAUUGAUAAUCCACGAAUAAAUUUACUUAAUUUAAUAUUUUGUAUAUCGUUGUUAAAAAAAUAUUUUUAAAAAAAAUUAAUAUUUAAAAAUUAUAAAUUAAAUUAAAUCAGAUCAAGAUGCAGAUUAUAAUUAAGAAUAUAAUGGAUUACAAUAAAUUUAUUUAUAUGGAUAUUAAUUUGUAAAAAUUAAUUGAAGGUGGAUUUAAAUGUAAUUUUAUUUAAUUUAUUAAAAUGAUUAAAAAUUAAAAUAUGUACAUAUUGCCCGUCACUUUCAUAUAAUAUAAUUAUAAAUAUAAUUAUAAUAAAUUGAAAUAAGUCGUAACAAAGUAGAGGUACUGGAAAGUGUUUCUAGAAAGAA